GGCGGGAUAGCUCAGGGGUAGAGCGCUGGUUUCAUAAGCCAGAGGUCGCGGGUUCGAAGCCCGCUCCCGCUA
rnacentral:tRNA from 1 species